rnacentral:rRNA from 1 species
GGGUUGUGAGGUUAAGCGAAUAAGCGUACACGGUGGAUGCCUAGGCAAUCAGAGGCGAUGAAGGACGUGCUAAUCUGCGAUAAGCGUCGGUAAGGUGAUAUGAACCGUUAUACCCGACGAUUUCCGAAUGGGGAAACCCAAUAUCCAAUGGAUAUUAUCAUGACGUGAAUACAUAGCGUCAUGAAGCGAACCGGGAGAACUGAAACAUCUCAGUACCCCGAGGAAAAGAAAUCAACCGAGAUUCCCCUAGUAGCGGCGAGCGAACGGGGAACAGCCCAGAGUCUUAAUCAAUAGCAGCAUCAGGAGAACGGUCUGGAAAGUCCGGCAGUAAAGGGUGAUAGCCCCGUAUCUGAAGAUGCUGUUAUUGUGAACUCGACGAGUAGGGCGGGACACGUGUUAUCCUGUCUGAAUAUGGGGGGACCAUCCUCCAAGGCUAAAUACUCCUGAUUGACCGAUAGUGAACCAGUACCGUGAGGGAAAGGCGAAAAGAACCCCGGCGAGGGGAGUGAAAAAGAACCUGAAACCGUGUACGUACAAGCAGUAGGAGCCUCUUUAUGGGGUGACUGCGUACCUUUUGUAUAAUGGGUCAGCGACUUAUAUUCUGUAGCAAGGUUAACCGUAUAGGGGAGCCGUAGGGAAACCGAGUCUUAACUGGGCGAAUGAGUUGCAGGGUAUAGACCCGAAACCCGGUGAUCUAUCCAUGGGCAGGUUGAAGGUUGGGUAACACUAACUGGAGGACCGAACCGACUAAUGUUGAAAAAUUAGCGGAUGACUUGUGGAUGGGGGUGAAAGGCCAAUCAAACCGGGAGAUAGCUGGUUCUCCCCGAAAGCUAUUUAGGUAGCGCCUCGUGAACUCAUCUUCGGGGGUAGAGCACUGUUUCGACUAGGGGGUCAUCCCGACUUACCAACUCGAUGCAAACUGCGAAUACCGAAGAAUGUUAUCACGGGAGACACACGGCGGGUGCUAACGUCCGUCGUGAAGAGGGAAACAACCCAGACCGCCAGCUAAGGUCCCAAAGUCAUGGUUAAGUGGGAAACGAAGUGGGAAGGCUCAGACAGCCAGGAUGUUGGCUUAGAAGCAGCCAUCAUUUAAAGAAAGCGUAAUAGCUCACUGGUCGAGUCGGCCCGCGCGGAAGAUGUAACGGGGCUAAACCAUGCACCGAAGCUGCGGCAGCGACACUAUGUGUUGUUGGGUAGGGGAGCGUUCUGUAAGCCUGCGAAGGUGUACUGUGAGGUAUGCUGGAGGUAUCAGAAGUGCGAAUGCUGACAUAAGUAACGAUAAUGCGGGUGAAAAACCCGCACGCCGGAAGACCAAGGGUUCCUGUCCAACGUUAAUCGGGGCAGGGUGAGUCGACCCCUAAGGCGAGGCUGAAAAGCGUAGUCGAUGGGAAACGGGUUAAUAUUCCCGUACUGGUGGUAACUGCGAUGGGGGAACGGAGAAGGCUAGGUUGUCCGGGCGACGGUCGUCCCGGUUCAAGCAUGUAGGCAGAGUGAUUAGGCAAAUCCGGUCACUUAAUGCUGAGGUGUGAUGACGAGCCACUAAGGUGGUGAAGCAAUUGAUGCCCUGCUUCCAGGAAAAGCCUCUAAGCUUCAGGUUACCAACAAUCGUACCCCAAACCGACACAGGUGGUCAGGUAGAGAAUACUCAGGCGCUUGAGAGAACUCGGGUGAAGGAACUAGGCAAAAUGGUGCCGUAACUUCGGGAGAAGGCACGCUGGCGGUAAGUGAAGUCCCUCGCGGACGGAGCCGAAGCCAGUCGAAGAUACCAGCUGGCUGCAACUGUUUAUUAAAAACACAGCACUGUGCAAACACGAAAGUGGACGUAUACGGUGUGACGCCUGCCCGGUGCUGGAAGGUUAAUUGAUGGGGUUAUCCGUAAGGAGAAGCUCUUGAUCGAAGCCCCAGUAAACGGCGGCCGUAACUAUAACGGUCCUAAGGUAGCGAAAUUCCUUGUCGGGUAAGUUCCGACCUGCACGAAUGGCGUAAUGAUGGCCAGGCUGUCUCCACCCGAGACUCAGUGAAAUUGAACUCGCUGUGAAGAUGCAGUGUACCCGCGGCAAGACGGAAAGACCCCGUGAACCUUUACUAUAGCUUGACACUGAACAUUGAGCCUUGAUGUGUAGGAUAGGUGGGAGACUUUGAAGUGUGGACGCCAGUCUGCAUGGAGUCAACCUUGAAAUACCACCCUUUAACGUUUGAUGUUCUAACCUAGGUCCAUAAUCUGGAUCGGGGACCGUGUCUGGUGGGUAGUUUGACUGGGGCGGUCUCCUCCUAAAGAGUAACGGAGGAGCACGAAGGUUGGCUAAGCAUGGUCGGACAUCAUGCGGUUAGUGCAAAGGCAUAAGCCAGCUUGACUGUGAGAGUGACGGCUCGAGCAGGUACGAAAGUAGGUCUUAGUGAUCCGGUGGUUCUGAAUGGAAGGGCCAUCGCUCAACGGAUAAAAGGUACUCCGGGGAUAACAGGCUGAUACCGCCCAAGAGUUCAUAUCGACGGCGGUGUUUGGCACCUCGAUGUCGGCUCAUCACAUCCUGGGGCUGAAGUAGGUCCCAAGGGUAUGGCUGUUCGCCAUUUAAAGUGGUACGCGAGCUGGGUUUAGAACGUCGUGAGACAGUUCGGUCCCUAUCUGCCGUGGGCGUUGGAAGAUUGAGAGGGGUUGCUCCUAGUACGAGAGGACCGGAGUGAACGCACCACUGGUGUUCGGGUUGUCAUGCCAAUGGCAUUGCCCGGUAGCUAAGUGCGGAAGAGAUAACCGCUGAAAGCAUCUAAGCGGGAAACUUGCCUCGAGAUGAGUCUUCCCUGUCACCUUGAGUGACCUAAAGGAACGUUUAAGACUAAGACGUUGAUAGGCUGGGUGUGUAAGCGUAGCGAUACGUUGAGCUAACCAGUACUAAUGAACCGUGAGGCUUAACCUGACAACACCGAAGGUGUUU